GAUGAACGCUGGCGGCGUGCCUAACACAUGCAAGUCGAACGAUGAUGGAGGAGCUUGCUCUUCCUGAUUAGUGGCGCACGGGUGAGUAUACCAUAGAUAAUGUGCCCCUUAGUUAGGGAUAGCCACUGGAAACGGUGAUUAAUACCGGAUACUCCUUCUUGCCAUAAGGUAAGUCGGGAAAGUUUUUUCGCUAAGGGAUCAGUCAAUGUCCUAUCAGGUAGUUGGUGAGGUAACGGCUCACCAAGCCUAUGCCGGGUAUCUGGUUUGAGAGGAUGAUCAGACCCACUGGAACUGAGACACGGUCCAGACUCCUACGGGAGGCAGCAGUGAGGAAUCUUGCACAAUGGAGGAAACUCUGAUGCGGCAACGCCGCGUGGAGGAUGACGCAUUUCGGUGUGUAAACUCCUUUUAAGAGGGAAGAUUAUGACGGUACCUCUUGAAUAAGUACCGGCUAACUCCGUGCCAGCCGCCGCGGUAA
rnacentral:rRNA from 1 species